GGGUAUAUAGCUCAGUGGUAGAGCACAUGCUUAGCAUGCAUGAGGUCCUGGGCUCAAUCCCCAGCACCUCCA
rnacentral:tRNA from 1 species